rfam:Nicotiana sylvestris Nsyl_contig182070, whole genome shotgun sequence.
AUUCGUUGGAUGAAUAUGAGGCAUUGGAUUGAUUUUGCUCAAUCCGAGCCCCACAUUCAUCAGAGGUUCGU